GAGGCGGGGCUUCCUGUAGUUCACGGGGUCGACCUGUCGCUCAGACCCCCGAACCUACUUUCCCCUAGGCCGGCAGCAGGAUGGCUGAGGAGGAGGUCCAGGGCCGCCUGUGGCUGGAGAGCCCCGCUGGGGGAGCUCCUCCCAUCUUCCUGCCUUCGAACCGGCAGGCUCUGGUCCUGGGCCGGGGUCCCCUCACCCGUGUUACGGACCGGAAGUGCUCCAGAAACCAAGGUGGGGACGGGCUUGAGCGGGAAGGGGUGUGGCCUGCUCUAGAGGCGGGAAUGAGAUCCUAAAGAAUGAUGCACCGAGGGACGCUCGGCUACUAGGCACAAUUGCGUGGUGCGUCCAGCCCAGGGGUCGAUUGGUGCCUUCUGGGGAGCGCAGAAGGAGAGGUUGUACCUGACCUUGGGGAAGAGGGUGUGGUGCCAACCCCGGGAGAAUUGUCAGUGGGCACAGGAGGCUGCUCUCGGGCCAUUUGAAGGUUUAAAACUGGCCACCACCUUUGUGAAGAGAGGUGAUCCUACAGAGAAAAGUAAAAGCCGGGUGGACGUGGACGGUAACAGGGCAAGCCCAGGGCCUGCGUCAAGCCUCACUUAUUAUUAUUUAUAUGAAAGUGUCUGCCCUGUUCAUAGGCAAGGACCAUGCCACGCGCAGUCCUAGGGACUCUCGCAGUGGGAUCCAAUCCCAUUGAGAAAUAAACUGUCUCUUACUCUCUCCGGAAUGGAUGCUGUAGCUCCAUUCUGUGGCCUGAAACUGGCCACCGCUCCCCAGUAUGAGGGGGCCCUUCACACAAGGAUGUGAUCCUGACCCCACCCCCUCAUCCCCUAGUGGAGCUGGUUGCAGACCCUGAGACCCGGACAGUGGCUGUGAAACAGGUACCAGUGCUUCAGCAAGGGGCAGCAGUGUCUGGGGGUAGGGUCUGGAGGGGAAUUGCAAACUGGCAGGGGGUAGACCCAUUAGAAAACUGGCCAGAAGAAGGGGGUGUGCUGGUGAAAAAGAGUUGUCGGCUUUAUUUGGGUAUCCAUCUGUCCCCUUUCAACUGGGCAAGACUGGAAGCCUAUAAGGGUCUGAUUGGUAGGUGGACUAAAUCACCCUGUGGUAUUGGGGGGGGGGAGGUUCUCACAGUGGGUGGAGCUGGUCCCAGCCCCUCCCUCUUUCUCUGCAGCUGGGCGUUAACCCUUCAACUGCUGGAACCCAGCAGUUGAAACCAGGGUUGGAGGGCUCUCUGGGGGUGGGGGACACACUAUAUUUGGUCAAUGGCCUCCACCCACUGACCCUGCGCUGGAAAGAGACCCAUACAUCAGGAUCCCAGCCAGAUACUCCGCCUGGCACCUCUCCAGUAGCUUCAGAUGAAGAGCAGGAGAAGGAUGCUAAGCAGCAGAAAAAGCGCUUAAGGAAGUCAUCCCCUGGCUGGGAGAGCUUGGAGAAGCUGCUAGUGUUCACAGCACCUGGGGUGAAGCCUCGGGGCAAGGUGAGGCUGCUGGAGGUUCUGCCCUAGGCCGGGCAUUCAGUCUGAACUUCAAAUGUGAUCCUAGGCAAGGCUGUCAGCCUCUUAGCCUUGGGGGAAGUGUGGGUUGGUCCCUGCUGCCCCUUGGUAGACACCCAGGAAUCAGCAGGAUGACCAGGAACAGGUCAGCAGGGGCUCUUCAGACUGCACUUAGAUGUGGUCAAGGCCAUGCUGAGUCUACAUCUCACCUCUGAAAUGAUGACUUCCCAAAAAGUAUGUGGCCUUGGUCCCUGACAGGCAGUGGGCACCCCAAAAAAGCUUUGCUCUGGUUUUAUUUCCCCUGUAGUUAUUAAUCUCCAAGGUGUAAAAGCCCAGGGGAGGAGAUCGGGUAAGAAACUAAUUCUCAUUUUGAUACUAGAAAUGCAGAGGUGGGGUGGACACAGGAGUGACAGGACAGUAGGAUUUCAGGUGAUGUGUCUGUGCCUCAUCCCUGUUGGGUCAUAUCUACAGAAAACCAUCUCCCUGCAUCAAAGUGUUAUUGUGACUCAUCCUGUGAGUGAAGAGACAGGUGUCUCAAUGCUGCCCCUCCUCUGUUCUUGGUGACACCAGGUAGCUGCCUUUGAUUUGGAUGGGACCCUCAUCACCACCCGCUCUGGGAAGGUGUUUCCCACUGGCCCCAGUGACUGGAGGUGAGGAGGGGCAAGGGAAGGGAGUGAGUGGAGCUGGUUGACCCCUCCAGGCCCCAGGUCACUUGUCCACUUCCGACCCAUUCUAGGGUCUUGUACCUAGAGAUUCCACGCAAGCUGAAGGAGUUGGAAGCAGAAGGCUACAAGGUCUGUGCCUAUGUGAGCAAGCGCGACAGGGUCUCUGAUGAGGAGGCCCUGGUGACAUUGUCUGCUCCCUAGCUGGUGAUCUUCACCAACCAGAUGGGCAUUGGACGAGGGAAACUGCCAGCAGAGGAGUUCAAGGCCAAGGUGGAGGCUGUGGUAGAGAAGCUGGGGGUUCCCUUUCAGGUAUGACUAGAAUGGAGGCUAGGGCCAGGGUAGGGUAACAAAGACCCUUGGGUGGGAGACAAACCCAGAGAGAGUCCCUGGGAUGUAUGGGACAGAGGCCUCUGCUGGGGUCAAGCCAUGAGCAGUUGUCAUGAGCUGUAUAUCCCAGAGCAUGGGCAGCUCUCUGGGGCUUGGUACCCAGCUCUUUGGGGCUUGGAAGAGCUGAGGAUGGUGUGUGACCCCUGCCCCACUUCAGGUGCUGGUGGCUACACAUGCAGGCCUGUAUCGGAAGCCGGUGACUGGCAUGUGGGACCAUCUGCAGGAGCAGGUGAGCUGUACCUCCUCUUCCCCUUGCUCUAGCCCCUGUUUCUUAGGGCUUGUUCUUUCUCUCCUCCCUUAGUCCUUGUCAUGUGGUUUAGCUGUCAGGUCCUAGGUGCUGGUAUAUGAGGUCAGUACCAUUAAGCUGAAGUCAGAGGUUGCAUCAGGAGCAGAGACAGGAGGGUAAGUUUGAGUCAGCCUGGGCAACUUAGGGAGACCCUGUCUCAAACUAUAAAAUAAGCCGGGCACAGUGUCGCAUGAAUGAAAUCCCAGCGGCUCAGGAGGCUGAGGCUGAGUUCAAAGGCAGCUGAUCAAACUCACUGAUCAGGAGUUCAAAGCUGGCCUCAGCAAAGGUGAAGCACUAAGCAACUCAGUGAGACCCUGUCUCUAAAUAAAAUACAAAAUAGGGCUGGGGAUGUGGCUCAGCUGUAGAGCACCUGCCUAGCAUGUCUGAGUCACUGGGUUCCAUCCCUAGUACCACCAAAAAAAAAAAAAAAUCAGUGGUUGAGAUUGUUAAUUCAUUCAACCAAUGGUUUGUUCUGAGCUGAAAAUCCUGGUAAAUAAUAGUGGCAUGCCUGCUGUAGCAGUACUCGUAGACCGCUGAUGGCAGCCAGCUAUAAAUGCACACAUGAGUAUAAAAUAGGAAGUAGGGUGUGAUUUUCCUACGGUAGACAGGGGGACGUCUCUAAGAAGGUGACAAAUUGAGUAAAAGUCUAAGGGAGGUGAGGGAAGAAGCCACAUGGAUAUCUGCAGAAGUGGUCCUGGCCAGAGUGACAGCUGGUGUGAAGGCCCCGAGCCUUGCGUGUUCACCAGUGCGGAUGCCCACCUGGUGGACCCAGGUGAGUGAGAGGGUGGGGCCUCGCCUUGGGGCCACGGGAGCAGAGUAGGAACGCGUGUGGGGUCUAAGUGGGGAUGGGAGCCUGGAAGCCUAUCCGCUCUGGCCUGAGUCUAGGCAGUGAAGCGUGAGAAGCGCUGCAAUGGUGAGGACUUGAGAGGUUUGAGAUCUGGCCUGAUGCAGGGAACAGACCAAGAGGAGCUGCCCCAGGGAGCCCUUUACUGCAGAGGGACAGUUGUUAGGAGUAGGUUCUAUUUGUCUCUCCAGGCCAACGAGGGCGUGCCCAUCUCUAUGGGGGACAGCAUCUUCGUGGGAGGUAAGGGCUUGGGGCUGCUGCGGGUGGGCCAAGACCCUUCUCUCCAAACCUGCUGGCAGUGAAGGGUAUCCUCGUGCGUUCCAGAUGCAGCAGGCCGCCCAGCCAACUGGGCCCCUGGCCGUAAGAAGAAAGACUUUUCCUGCGCUGACCGAUUGGUGAGCAGGUGACCGAUUGGGGAUCGGUCACCAAUGGUGAGCCCCGCACCCCGCCCUCGAUCUCUGCCUCACCUCUGCCUUUGCCCCAGUUUGCGCUCAACCUUGGCCUGCCCUUCGCCACCCCGGAGGAGUUCUUCCUUAAGCAGCCCACAGCAGCCUUUGUCCUCCCAGCAUUUGACCCGGUGAGGCCCGAGGGGUGGAAGGCAGGGAACAAGCAGGGGAAUGAGGGUCUCAACUUCUUGUUCCACCCCUCCUAGAGGACUGUCUCCUGCUCAGGGCCUCUCUGCCUCCCAGAGUCCAGCUCCCUCCUGAGCUCUGACCCAGAGGUGGUUGUCGCCGUGGGAUUCCCUGGGGGUGAGAUAUCCUGAUCCCCAUCUCUGGGUGCUGUAAGUGUCCUUCUGGGUCCUGGGUAUCCACUGAUAGUGAUUUUGUGCCUCUCAGCUGGGAAGUCCACCUUCCUCAAGAAACAUCUCGUGUCAGCUGGGUACGUCCACGUGAACAGGGUAAGAGGCUGCCGCGCCCCAUCCCACUGGUUCAUUCCCUGGCUGCCCCAACCGGGCCUUCAGGGCUGCCGCCCAGCACCCCUGCCUCCCCCUGCAGUUCUGAUUUGUUGCCCUGCCCCCACCAGGACACCCCUUCAUCUUCUAUUCCCUAUUGGGCAAUUCCUGCUUGUGACCUGCUCUCCUCUGUCCCCAGGAUACAAUAGGCUCCUGGCAGCGCUGUGUGAGCACCUGUGAGGCAGCUCUGAAGCAGAGGAAACGCGUGGUGAUCGACAACACAAAUCCAGACAUCCCAACCAGGGCCAGGUACUUGGCCCCAUGGGAGGUCUCUAGUAGGGCUGGCAAGGGCCUGGUGACAGCGCUUUCCUGGCCUCAACAGGUAUGUCCAGUGUGCCAGGGAUGCAGGUGUUCCCUGCCGUUGUUUCCUCUUCACUGCCACAUUGGAGCAGGCUCGCCACAACAACCGGGUGAGCCCCUGCCCUCCCCCUCCCUCCUGCCCUGCCCUGCCCCUCCCUCCCCGAUGGCCUCACUCUGAACCAUCCCCUAACAGUUCCGGGAGAUGACUGGCUCCUCUCACACACCAGUGUCAGAUGUCGUCAUAUUCGGCUACAGGUACCUCUAGUUAGUAGGCUGUGGGCUGGUAGGGCCUGGCCUCUCCUUACCACCUUCUCUGCCACCAGGAAACAGUUCGAAGCUCCUACGGUGGCGGAAGGCUUCUCUGCAAUCCUGGAGAUCCCAUUCCAGCUGCAGCUAGAGCCGCAACUAGAGCGACUCUACCGGCAGUUCUCUGAGGGCUGAGUUGCCCAGCCCCAUGCUCCCCUCCCUGACCUGGCAAUAAAUGCUAUUUUUCUCCAAGCUUGGCCAGCAUUUUGCUGGGAGGAAGGGUGGUCGUCUUGGAGGUGCGUCACCAGGCCUAGGCCAACCCCACGCCCCCACACACACACGCGCGCGCGCGCACACUUUUCUACAUUUUCAGGUUAACAGAAAAGGAGGGACCUGGACUGGCUCAGGCUGCUCCUCUGCACAUCUCAUGUUCUACACCAAACCACUCCACCCACCUUGGGCUGUGGAAAGGUGUCACUAGGAGGUUGUCAUGAGCAGGUCAAACAAGAGACUGAGAUGAGACAUGGGAAUGUAGGACAUUGAAUGGGCCCCUAUAAGCUAGCCAGAGCUUGGCUCAAGAUGGCCCAUGAGGGCACAGUGAUUGCAAGCUUGCCUAAUCAUGUGUGAGGCCCUGCAUUCAACUCCCAGUACUGCAUGAGGACAAAAUAUCCAGGGCUCAGGUUCUAUUGCAUUGGACUUGAACGCAGGGGAUGUGGGUCUUGGACCUGCCUAUGGAUCCCCCCUCCAGCUACAGGAGGCAAAAACGCCCCUGACCUAUGCUUUCUUACAGGUAAGUCCAGGGGAAAGAAACCAUGAGCACUACCUGCAAGGUCCUGGCACCAGGUACUGGAAACAGAGAACCAACACACGGCUUCAUGCUUCUGACACAAAGGCCCCAGGAGGUGAGGCCACC
rnacentral:lncRNA from 1 species